GAUGAACGCUGGCGGCGUGCCUAAUACAUGCAAGUCGAGCGAAUGGAUUAAGAGCUUGCUCUUAUGAAGUUAGCGGCGGACGGGUGAGUAACACGUGGGUAACCUGCCCAUAAGACUGGGAUAACUCCGGGAAACCGGGGCUAAUACCGGAUAACAUUUUGAACCGCAUGGUUCGAAAUUGAAAGGCGGCUUCGGCUGUCACUUAUGGAUGGACCCGCGUCGCAUUAGCUAGUUGGUGAGGUAACGGCGCACCAAGGCAACGAUGCGUAGCCGCCCGGAGAGGGUGAUCGGCCAAACUGGGACUGAGGCACGGCCCAGACUCCUACGGGAGGCAGCAGUAGGGAAUCUUCCGCAAUGGACGAAAGUCUGACGGAGCAACGCCGCGUGAGUGAUGAAGGCUUUCGGGUCGUAAAACUCUGUUGUUAGGGAAGAACAAGUGCUAGUUGAAUAAGCUGGCACCUUGACGGUACCUAACCAGAAAGCCACGGCUAACUACGUGCCAGCCGCCGCAGUAA
rnacentral:rRNA from 1 species